UACGUAGGGUGCGAGCGUUAAUCGGAAUUACUGGGCGUAAAGCGUGCGUAGGCGGUUCGCUGUGUCCGAUGUGAAAGCCCCGGGCUCAACCUGGGAAUGGCGCGCGAGACGGGGGGGCUGGAGUCGGGAGAGGAGCGUGGAAUUCCCAGUGUAGAGGUGAAAUCGUAGAUAUUGGGAAGAACACCGGUGGCGAAGGCGGCGCUCGUGG
rnacentral:rRNA from 1 species